CCCAUCUAAUUUCGAUGAUCAUUGGAUGUUGAUGGCAAUUUGUCCUCAACUUAAUGAAAUCUAUUGGUUUGAUUCAAUUGGAGGCCAGCCACGUGAUGACAUCAAAGAUAUUGUUGAAAAGUGUGUCAAUUCAGCAAAGUUGUUGAGAAGCAAUGGAUCAACUCGUUCACCAAAAUGGACUAAGGUUUUGUGUGCUCAACAAGUUGGAAGUACGGCAU